rnacentral:lncRNA from 1 species
CUCUACAUAAAAAAAAAUAAAAAAAUAAAAACAGAAUCUUCUGUAGGAGAUAUUUAUGUAAAGGUUAUAUUAGUAAAUAGUUAGCUGUAAACCCUCUCGUGUAUGUACUAUAAAUAUGUAAUCAUUCUCUCUAAUGCAAAUUAAGUUCCCUAAUCUAUAUGGUAUCAGAGCAGCGAUCCCAAGAAACCUAAAUUUUUCAGCCGCCAACUUUAUUUUUCAAAAUCUUCUUCGCCCAUUUUUUCGAUGGCUCAAUCUCCUCAAUCAACCAGCGAAACGAUCUCGAUCAACAACAAUGAUCAUCUCAUCAAUGUCAACAUGGAAAAUGUUACCAAACUCACCACAUCCAACUUUUUGAUGUGGAAUCGUCAGGUUCAUGCUCUUCUCGAAGGGUACGACCUCGCCGGCUACGUCGAUGGCACAACAGCUGUUCCACCUGCUACAACUACGGUCGCAGGUGCUGUCACACCAAAUCCUGAGUACACGGUGUGGAGAAGACAAGACAAACUCAUUUAUAGCGCACUCCUUGGUGCUAUUACAAUGACCAUCCAGCCGCUCCUAGCCACUGCCAAGACCUCGUCGGAGGUCUGGACCACUCUCAACACGAUCUAUGCCAACACAGGUCGAGGCCACAUGCAGCAAAUUCGCCACCAGAUCCGCGAAUGGUCGAAAGGAUCGAAGACGAUCCACGAAUACAUGCAGGGGUUCACUACUCGUUUCGAUCAGCUCGCCCUUCUUGGCAAACCCCUAGAUCUGGAGGAUCAGAUCGAUUAUAUCCUUCGUGGACUUCCGGAAGACUACAAGUCGGUCGCCGAUCAGAUUGAGGCCCGUGACAUGCCUCCAUCUCUCUUAGAGAUCCAUGAGAAACUCUUAAAUCAUGAAGUUAAGCUUCAAACAGUAGUGAAGACAGCCUCUUCAUCGCCGAUCACUGCGAAUGCGGCUCAGGUGCAAACCUCGUCCUACAACAACAAAUCUGGCAACAAUUACCGAGGCAAAAACAACAACCGCAAUCAACAGACUUGGCAACAACAGCAACAAUUCUCGCCUCGUCAGGAUCAGUUCUCACCUCGGGGCUAUCAGGGAAAGUGUCAACUUUGUGGCACCUAUGGACACAGUGCUCGCCGAUGCUCUCAGCUACAACAACAAGGCAGCUCGUACAGUGCAUCUCCACGACCGUUUCAGAGCAGUUCGGGGUCAUGGCAGCCUCGGGCUAAUUUGGCCGCAGCAUCCUCGUCUGGUGCUAAUAACUGGGUCCUCGAUAGUGGCGCCACUCACCACCUCACUACAGACUUGAACAAUCUCUCUCUGCAUCAUCUCUACAAUGGUGGUGAGGAAGUAACCAUAGCUGAUGGUUCUGGACUCCCGAUCUCGCACACUGGUUUUACUUCCUUACCUACACCCACUAAAUCUCUGCAACUAAAUGAUGUCCUUUAUGUUCCCAAUGUCCAUAAGAACCUUAUAUCUGUUUACAGAUUGUGUAAUACUAACCAGGUGUCUGUGGAAUUCUUUCCUGCUCAUUUUCAGGUGAAGGACUUGAGAACGGGGGCCCGAUUACUCCAAGGCAGAACUAACAAAGAGCUGUACGAGUGGCCACUUACAUCCCAAAAUACCAUACUCUUUGCCUCACCAUCACCAAAAACGACUCUAUCCUCUUGGCAUUCCCGGUUUGGCCACCCAUCUCCACCUAUUUUACAAACCAUUGUCUCCAAAUUUUCUUUACCUUUUUUCUGAUUCUAUGCAAAAACAAAAUCCCUGUUCUCAUUGUCUCAUUAAUAAAAGCCACAAGUUGCCAUUUUAUACCAAUACCAUUUCUUCUACUUACCCUCUCCAAUAUGUUUAUUCUGAUGUCUGGAUGUCGCCUAUAAUGUCGAUUGAUAGCUACAAGUAUUAUCUGGUUCUUGUAGAUCACCACACCCGAUAUACGUGGCUCUAUCCGUUGAAGCUGAAAUCGCAAGUCAAGGAGACAUUUGUUGCCUUCAAAAAUCUCGUGGAGAAUCGUUUCAAGCACAAAAUCGGUACUCUAUACACCGACAAUGGAGGAGAAUUCCUCGCCUUACGAUCUUUUCUGACUGACCAUGGCAUCUCCCAUCUGACGUCUCCACCACAUACACCCGAGCACAACGGGAUUUCUGAGCGUAAACAUCGACACAUUGUCGAGACGGGACUCACUUUGCUUCAUCAAGCCUCCAUUCCGAAAGUUUACUGGCCGUAUGCCUUUGCGACGGCGGUCUACCUGAUCAAUCGUUUACCAACGCCGGUCCUUAACCAUCUCUCUCCAUACACCAAGCUUUUCCAGGAAGCCCCGAAUUACAUGAAGCUCAGGGUUUUCGGAUGUUUGUGUUUCCCAUGGCUCAGGCCAUACACAAAUCAUAAGCUCGACGAUCGCUCAAAUCCUUGUGUGUUCCUCGGCUACUCUCUCAGUCAAAGUGCUUAUCUCUGCCUUGAUAGAGCUCACUCUCGAAUUUAUACCUCACGCCAUGUGCAGUUUGUGGAAACCCAAUUCCCUUUUGCGACAAAUCCACUGACAUCGCGAGAUCCAGAUACCACCGAUGACCUCCAAACCAACCACGCCUCACCCACAUUUAUCCCGCUUCCUACACCGCCACUCGUACAGACUCAGCAGCACGCGCCCCUGACCUCGGUUCUUCCCACGUCACAGCAGGCUCGACGGUCACAUCCAGUGCCCUCUGUUGUGACACAUCCGGUGAGUCAUGUCUCUUCGGAACAUGACGAUGAACCAACCACAUCGAAUGUGGGUCUAAAUGAGAAUUCUACAGGCUCUAUUCACCCAGGCCCAAAUCAAAUAUCUUCCCCACCAAACACACAUCUCGGCCCACCUAAUAACACCACCAUAUCCUCUCCACAAAUACAAUCACCUGCUCCUGCAAUCCCCAACCCGACAAUAACUUCCCGACCACCACUCUAAACCAAUACUCACCCAAUGCAAACUCGCCGGAAAAACAAUAUUACCAAACCCAAUUCCAAACUUACCCUUACAGCCAUCACCACCACACCAACCAUACCCACUACCGUAAACCAGGCGUUGCGAGAUCCUAAAUGGCGAAAUGCCAUGAGUCAGGAGAUGAAUGCCCAAACUCGAAACCACACAUUUGAUUUGGUGCCGCCCAGACCGAAUCAACAUGUCAUUCCGACGAAAUGGAUUUUUACGAUAAAAUAUCUCCCUGAUGGUUCCAUUGACAGGUAUAAAGCGAGAUUGGUAGCUCGUGGGUUCAACCAGACGUAUGGCAUUGACUAUGCAGAAACUUUUAGCCCAGUGGUGAAAUCGGUUACAAUUCAGACAGUUCUGCAACUUGCGGUUAGUCAUGGCUGGCUUAUUCGACAAUUGGAUGUCAAUAAUGCCUUCCUCCAAGGAAGCUUGAAUGAAGAGGUAUAUGUCACCCAGCCUCAGGGAUUUGUCGACAAGGAUUAUCCGCAUCAUGUUUGUCGCUUGCGAAAGGCUCUUUACGGCCUCAAACAAGCACCGCGGGCUUGGUACCAGGAGCUGCGAACAUAUCUCGUCGGGGUGGGCUUCCAAAACUCCCUCGCUGAUACCUCAGUGUUCAUAUACAUCAGUGGUAACGAUCUUGUCUAUACGUUGGUCUACGUGGACGACAUAAUUAUCACUGGAAGUAAGCCCUCUCUUGUUUCUCAAUUCAUCAGUCUACUCUCUACACGUUUUUCUUUGAAAGAACCGACUGACUUGACGUAUUUCUUGGGCAUUGAGGCAACUCGAACUUCAAAAGGCUUACAUCUAAUGCAGCGUAAAUAUAUUAUUGAUCUUCUCAGCAAAGUCAAGAUGCUUGAUGCUAAGCCUGUCUCAACACCUAUGGCUCCAACGCCGAAGUUAUCUCUUACUCUCGGCACUCCUCUCUCAGAUCCCCGAGAAUAUCGUGCAGUCAUAGGAAGUCUUCAGUACCUGCAAUUGACUCGACCGGAUAUCGCAUAUGCGGUAAAUAGGCUAUCACAGUUUAUGCAUUCUCCGACGGAUAUCUAUUGGCAAGCGGCUAAGAGGAUUCUGAGGUAUCUUGCGGGUACUACCAGCAAAGGUAUUUUUCUUCGUGCUAACUCCCCACUGUCAUUACACGCAUUCUCCGAUGCAGACUGGGCAGGGGAUGUCGACGAUUUUGUAUCCACGAACGGGUACAUCCUGUACUUAGGCACUACACCCAUUUCGUGGUCCUCUAAGAAGCAAAAGGGGGUAGCCCGAUCUUCCACUGAAGCGGAUUACCGAGCGGUUGCGAACACUACUUCUGAGCUACUCUGGGUUUGUUCUCUUCUUUCUGAACUUGGUGUCACUCUGAACUCGCCACCAGUAAUCUACUGUGACAACGUCGGAGCUACCAGACUUUCGGCCAAUCCAUUCUUCCAUUCACGCAUGAAACACUUGGCACUUGACUACCAUUUCAUCCGGGAGAAUAUCCAGUCCGGCACACUACGUGUUUCUCAUGUAUCCACGAAAGAUCAGCUAGCAGAUGCUCUCACGAAACCUCUUCCCAAGCCUCGUUUUCUUGAAUUGCAUGACAAGAUUGGAGUGAUUGAACUCCCUCCAUCUUGAAGGGGCGUGUAGGAGAUAUUUAUGUAAAGGUUAUAUUAGUAAAUAGUUAGCUGUAAACCCUCUCGUGUAUGUACUAUAAAUAUGUAAUCAUUCUCUCUAAUGCAAAUUAAGUUCCCUAAUCUAUAUCUUCAUCCUCCAUCUUCAAAUUCUUCAUCAUCCUCCAAGAAAUUCAAAAAUGACACAAUGAUGCAUAUCUGAAAAAAAAAAUGCUUGUAUAUCUGAGAAAAAAAACUACACAAAAUAAUUAAAUUACAUUAGGGCAUCUCCAAUCCUAUCCCAUUUCCUACUCCAAAUGCAAUUUUUGGGGAAAUUAUUUUCCAACCUUACUCCAUUUUCAUCUCCAAAGUGAGAAAAUGCCAUUUUUUCCUCCAAAUAUGGAGUAACUCCAUUUUCGACUCUAUUUUGCAGUUGAACUUUUGAAUUUAUAAAUUAGUCCUUCAUUUUUUUUUAUAAUUUUUUCAUUUUU